rnacentral:tRNA from 1 species
GACUCUGUGGCUGAGUGGUUAAGCACUUGGUUGCCUAACCUGGGGUCCUGGGUUCGAAUCUCAGCAAAGACU